rnacentral:rRNA from 1 species
UGGGGAAUAUUGGACAAUGGGCGCAAGCCUGAUCCAGCAAUGCCGCGUGUGUGAAGAAGGCCUUCGGGUUGUAAAGCACUUUUAUCAGGAGCGAAACGCUGUCGGCUAAUACCCGGCGGAACUGACGGUACCUGAGGAAUAAGCACCGGCUAACUUCGUGCCAGCAGCCGCGGUAAUACGAAGGGUGCAAGCGUUAAUCGGAAUUACUGGGCGUAAAGCGUGCGUAGGCGGUUUCUUAAGUCUGCUGUGAAAUCCCCGGGCUCAACCUGGGAAUGGCAGUGGAUACUGGGAGGCUAGAGUGUGUCAGAGGGUGGUGGAAUUCCCGGUGUAGCGGUGAAAUGCGUAGAGAUCGGGAGGAACAUCAGUGGCGAAGGCGGCCACCUGGGACAACACUGACGCUGAGGCACGAAAGCGUGGGGAGCAAACAGGAUUAGAUACCCUGGUAGUCCACGCCCUAAACGAUGCGAACUGGAUGUUGGUCUCAACUCGGAGAUCAGUGUCGAAGCUAACGCGUUAAGUUCGCCGCCUGGGGGAGUACGGUCGCAAGACUGAAACUCAAAUGAAUUGACGGGGUCAUAGCUGUUUCC